UGAUUAUGACGUACUUGUACCGAUUGAGAUUUUAACACGAAGUGAGUGGCGAACUGGGUGAGUGACACGUGGGUAACCUGUACAGAAGUAGGGGAUAACACCUGGAAACAGAUGCUAAUACCGUAUAACAGAGAAAACCGCAUGGUUUUCUUUUAAAAGAUGGCUCUGCUAUCACUUCUGGAUGGACCCGCGGCGUAUUAGCUAGUUGGUGAGGUAAAGGCUCACCAAGGCAGUGAUACGUAGCCGACCUGAGAGGGUAAUCGGCCACAUUGGGACUGAGACACGGUCCACAUCUAUACGGGAGGCAGCAGUAGGGAAUCUUCCACAAUGGACGCAAGUCUGAUGGAGCAACGCCGCGUGAGUGAAGAAGGGUUUCGGCUCGUAAAGCUCUGUUGUUAAAGAAGAACGUGGGUAAGAGUAACUGUUUACCCAGUGACGGUAUUUAACCAGAAAGCCACGGCUAACUACGUGCCAGCAGCCGCGGUAAUACGUAGGUGGCAAGCGUUAUCCGGAUUUAUUGGGCGUAAAGCGAGCGCAGGCGGUCUUUUAAGUCUAAUGUGAAAGCCUUCGGCUCAACCGAAGAAGUGCAUUGGAAACUGGGAGACUUGAGUGCAGAAGAGGACAGUGGAACUCC
rnacentral:rRNA from 1 species